AGCCAUCUUGGGACCAUGAGGAAAAAGACAAGAGAAUCCCAGAGAAGCUGACCUCAAGUCUUGAUAUAGCUAAUCUGUUGAAUUAACCAGCUCUAGGUCUGAUGGUCUUUGGACUUCAGUUUAUUUUGAUUAGUGGUUCUCAAAGUGCAGUUCCUGACCACAGGAGUAGCAGCAUAACUUGGCAACCUACUAGAAAUGUAGAAUCUCGGACUCCACGCUGGACCUACUGCAUCAGAAACGCUGGGAGCAGCCUGCCAGCCUGUAGUUUAACAAGCCCCCAGGGGAUUCUGAUGCAUACUAAAGUUUGGGAACUGUGCUAGAUUAUCAAAUGUCUCUAUUAUUUCUAAUGUGUCUAUUAUUAACGAUAGGGUUUUCACUUCUUGCCUGAUUCCACUGGAGUUCGUGUUAAAAAAAAAUAUAUUCCCAAGUCUAUUGCAUCAGAAUCUCCAGUGAAGGGGCUUGUGAAUUAAUAAUUUAAUCAAGUGCCCCUGGUGAUUCUUAUGACCAGAAAACCUUGGGAAAGACAAACUUAAGAACUUUAAAGUCAGGUAUCUGUUACUGGCCUCUGAAAGUAUUCUAACUGACAUUCCAUCUGCAAUCUCCUGUUUCAACUGGCCGCAGCUCCAGGACCACUCAGUUUGUUGUACAGGAGCAGCCCAGAUUUGGUGUGUUCCUCUACACAAGGAACAAUUGCCUGGAGACAUGAUUCACAGGGAGGAGGGAGUGCCUUCCUAGAAGAGCUAUCAUAAAAAGGUACACAGUAGAUGCUCAAUCAGUGCUGACUGAAUGAAAGAACAAAGGGAUGAAAGAAGGAAUGAAGUUUGCAAAAGAUGAGGCUCUAGAUCCCUGCGACAGCAAGUUACCACAGAGGUAUACAGAUGGAGUGUAAUGAUGUCUACAUGACUUUGGAAGAAGCUUAGGAAACCUUUAAAAAACAUACAUAAUUUAUGAUACUGUUCUUUGACAUAUGUAAAGAAUCUAAUAGCUGGAAAUGCCUUCAUAUUAUUCAGAUUUUAAAGGUGUUUGCAUUCCAUGAGUUCCUACAGUCAAUAAAACAAAUACUCCUUAUGUUAAAGUGUUUUUGCAGCUUUUGUGCUAUUUGUGGGUUUACUCAUGAGUAAAGAAAAAUGGUAUAAUAUUCCUUUAUAUACUACUUGCGCUUGGUGAAUAAAGAGAUUGACUGCAUUACUCAGUGUGUGUACUAUUUCAAAAUUAGAAAGGUUUAUCAUCAUUUUAACUUUUUUCUCACCUGGUUUAGAUAUUCGUUUCUACUUGGUCAAAUAUUAGCAUUAGUUUGGCUUUAAGAGCUGAUUCACUGAAAUCACUUUUGGCUGAUUUUAGUACAAUUGCUGAGUUCUAAAGGCAAUGAGGAAUAUAAUGCUUUAAAAUUUUAUAUUUGAAACAAGUGUGAUUUC
rnacentral:lncRNA from 1 species